GACCUAGUGGUGAAUGGUGCACACCCACUUUCCAUUCAGAUGCCCCAGCAUGUAAGGUGGGAGUACCUGGUUCGAUUCCGGGUCAGGUCG